rnacentral:rRNA from 1 species
CCUACGGGUGGCAGCAGUGAGGAAUAUUGGUCAAUGGACGAGAGUCUGAACCAGCCAAGUAGCGUGAAGGAUGACUGCCCUAUGGGUUGUAAACUUCUUUUAUAUGGGAAUAAAAUGUUCCACGUGUGGGAUUUUGUAUGUACCAUAUGAAUAAGGAUCGGCUAACUCCGUGCCAGCAGCCGCGGUAAUACGGAGGAUCCGAGCGUUAUCCGGGUUUUUUUGGUUUAAAGGGAGCGUAGGUGGAUUGUUAAGUCAGUUGUGAAAGUUUGCGGAUCAACCGUAAAAUUGCAGUUGAAACUGGGAGUCUUGAGUACAGUAGAGGUGGGCGGAAUGCGUGGUGUAGCGGUGAAAUGCUUAGAUAUCACGAAGAACUCCGAUUGCGAAGGCAGCCUACUAAACUGCCACUGACAUUGAUGCUCGAAAGUGUGGGUAUCAAACAGGAUUAGAUACCCCAGUAGUC